ACUGAUUUGGCAGAGUAGUGCAUUAAAUUUAGGAUUUAAACAUGUUGUAAUAUACAUUCAGUU
rnacentral:tRNA from 1 species